GAAUCAUCAGCAAAUGCUGGAAUUUGGGCAGAAUGACUGCAACAUUUUAUAAAGUCUGACACAUAUUUGGUAUUACAGAAACUGGAUGAUUAUUACACAACUUCAGGCAACCAAGGGUUUGUAUAUGUAUAUCUGUCUCAUGAGACAGUUGUUUUCCUGUUCACUUCUUAGAAACAGCAUGAUAAAAGUGCCAGACCAAUAAUGAAAAGGCAACCAUGUGAGUAAGUAGACCAGUCCCACUCAGCUUUGCUUUUCUCUCCAAGAUGGAUCUAGAUACACAGAAACCAGAGGAAAUCAAUGGGGAGUUGAAGAGUAAUUUGAUUGCUGAGACCAGAGUGAAUACAGCUUAAGACUGAUCUCCAAAAAUAUUUUAGGAGGGGUUGGCUAGUGGAAGUAUUAUCUCUGAGUGUUUCUGUCACUCUCAUCACCUCUUAUGAAUCUGUUGCAGACUGUGAAGACCUUAAGUUGUCUGCCUAAUUGAGCACAGCUGUGCAGUGGCACAAAACUAACCAGGAAAUGAGCAUUUUGAUAAUUUCACAUUUCUAAAGCACCUCUUAAACAUCUCAUGUGAAAAUAGCAGUCGCAAUACCUUUAGAGAUCAACAACAUUGAACCAGAUUGAUCAUACUGAGCUGUCUCCUGCAGGCAUUUAGAAAAAUCCACUUUCAAGACAAAUUAGUAAAGGUUCCCUCAACUGUAACUGUCUUGUAACAUAAACAAAAUGUGUGUGGAAUAGAGACAAACUUUUCCAAGCUGCUCCAAGAAUGAAUUCUUGUCUUUUCACUAGUCUACUGCCAAUGAAGACUUCAUAUUUUUUUGUUUUAUAACAAUCAUCUCUACAUCAGUUUUCCAUUUGGGACUAUAGCCAGUGGAAAAGUGUAUAGACUUAUGAAAUACUCUGAAGUAAUUCAUAAUGUGUUGCUUUUUGUGAACAUCCUGUUUGUGAUUUCAGUCUUCAUCUUUACAAGUUAAAGAGCUGAUUCCUCAUUGAGCCAUAUCCUCAGAGGACAUAAAAUAGUCUGACUAAGUGCACUGAUAUAAGUCUGUUGAGUCACCCUUUUCUUAAAAAAGGAUUAAUUUAGAGAUUGCUUUUCUUUUUGAUUCAGAUUCAAAACUAGAAUGGAGGUCAUGAAUUCCUGAAUGUGAGUUUUAAGCAGGGUCAGAAAUCUGAGCAGAAUAGCUCAUGUGUGCCCAAACUUUGGCAUUCAUGAUUCUUGGCUGAACUUUAAUCCUAAACCUAACCCCAGAUACCUAGUACAGAAACACUGUUCUUUUGAAUUUAAUCUUGAUAUGAACAGAUCUACUCCAAACAUCUUGAUUCCUUCUAUACUAAUUUUGUAGUUCAGUAGUGUUUCUCACAUACCACUAAUCUUCUGUUCCAGAAAGUGGACAAUAGAGUAAAAAGAGAGAUCUUCAUGUUUUCAUCCAUGGUAAAAUAUCUUUUUCUGAAGUCUGGUUUUCUUUCUUUCCUUGAGUGUAGUCAAGUAUCAUUAAAAGGAACUUUAAAUAUAGUCAGGCUUUCAUAACUGGAGCUUGUAGACUUCUGUGGAGAUCUAAGUCACAAUAUGCAUUUCACUAGUUUAUUAUGCUUUUGUAUAUCUUGUUUACUUUGUGUGCAUUUUUGGUAAUAAAAAUGUAGCCAUAUAGGCAUUCUGAAAUGAUUCUGAGCUAUAAAAAUAAAUCAGACCAAGAGUUUCUUCAGCUACCCCCUAACACAAGUUCUGGGUAGGCCACUAAAUGCACGUUUACCUUUUUAAAAAUCUGUUUAUUCUGAAAUGAAUACAGCUCUCAAUCAAAUUUGAUUGUACUUUUUCACAUACAACAUGCAAGAAACAAUAAUGUCUCUGGUGUGAAAGGAAUGUACUUUCAAAUACAACAUUUUAUCCUCUAUGCCAAACUACAAUUGCUAUGUUUUGAAUAGUCUUUGUGUUUUCUUUUGUUUUGUUUUGUCUUGUUUUGUUUUGUUUUGAUUAAGAAAAAUAUGAUGCAAUUAUAGGAGACUAGACUUUCAAAGUCUCAUUUAUUCAAACUUGGUUGGAAUGGCUUGGUUUGUAACAUUUAUUAAGGGUCUGGAGAUGCCUAUAUAUAUCAAUUUCUUGGGGUGGGUAUGGGUUACACUCAUUUCUUCUUUUAACCAAAAGUAGAAAGGCUAGGCAGAAGGUAACCUGUGAAUGUAAAGUAAACAUUUACAACUGUUUUCCCCAAGUAUGACACAGAAUUUUAUCUCAUGACCUCGUAUCCCAAUAACUCUUAGGAGGUUUGUGACAGUCGUAUAGAAAAUUUUGUUAAUCUUUUCCCUUCUUUCCGUUUAUUUUUCUUUUUUUUCUCAGUCUAACUUCUAAGAACCAAAACAAAAUUACAGUUCAUAAAUAAAUAGAUAAGACCACGUAAGAAUUACAAAAUUAAAAAAAAAAAAAAAUCAUUGCCAAAGUAGAUGUUUCUCAAGGAAAACAAAUUUUUUUUUCUUUUUUUUUUUUUUCAAUAAACCUUAUUUUCUUAUGAUAAAAUUUCAGUUACAUAUAGUGGCAACUAAAAAUUACAGUAUUAUAACUUUUACUUCUUUUACAAACUCAAAAUGAAGGCUUAAUUUUUUCAGUAGGAAAAAAUGAAUAAAAUUCUUAGUAAGUACAUCUAUAUUUUAAGCACUGUAUCCCUCCUAACUCACUAUUAGGCUUUUCAUUAUGACCAUCCUUAGGCUCAUUUUAGAUUGAAUUGGGAAAUAACUUUCACUGUUGUAUGACCUUGUUAGCAGCAUUUACUGCCUGAGCAGGAACUAACAGAAUCUUCCUCUGGAUAUUUCAAGACUCAUAAGAUGUUCCAACUUUAAUUAACAAAUUCAAUUAAUAUAUGGCAGUUUGAAUUUUUUCUGUUUCCUGUAAUCUUGUGCAUGGCCUAUCUUAAAAACUUUUUGCACAGACGUGAGAGAGCUCCCCUGCAGAGUACUAUAGGGCCAAGUGAACAAUUAUGGUCAUGGCAGGUUCUCAAGGCCAAAUUGAAACUAAUUAUUAUCUUUUAAUACAGUUUCUUUUCUGCUGUGAAUACUUUAUAAUACAUUCAGUCACGUCGCACGAUACCUAUACAGUCCAGCAAUUAGAAAAUAUCCUUACUUUUUCUCUCUCUCUCUCUUUCUUUCUUUUUUAUGUAGAUUUUUUUAUUAAUCUAAAUAUUAUUAGUCUUUUUAUUUGUAGCUAAACCAGCACAUGCCAUCUUCAAUUUUUUUUGUCAGUUUUAAAGAACACUUCUUACCUCAGAACUGCCCCCUCCUUCUUCUACAGCAUAUUGAUAUAAAUGUUGAAAUAAAGAUUUCUCAUGUUUUUAACUUUGUG